rnacentral:rRNA from 1 species
UACGAAGGGGGCUAGCGUUGUUCGGAUUAACUGGGCGUAAAGCGCGCGUAGGCGGGUUUUUAAGUCAGGGGUGAAAUCCCAAGGCUCAACCUUGGAACUGCCUUUGAUACUGGAAAUCUUGAGUCCGGGAGAGGUGAGUGGAACUGCGAGUGUAGAGGUGAAAUUCGUAGAUAUUCGCAAGAACACCAGUGGCGAAGGCGGCUCACUGGCCCGGUACUGACGCUGAGACGCGAAAGCGUGGGGAGCAAACAGG